ensembl:lncRNA
CCCAGUUCAGCAUGACAGAAACUCCACUCCAGGCAGGUGUGGCUGAGAGCGAGAGCGAGGGCUCCCUCUCCGCCAGCUCCCAGCUGAUGACUAUGGUAUCUUUCCAGGAGGGGCAGGUCACCAGCAUCUCUCACCUCCCAACCCCAGCGAUAUGUUGCAGAGACUGAAUUCCAGGUUGGCAAGGCUCCACCUCAGGGAUGGAACACUGAAAACACGAAGGGCAGAGGUUUGAUGCCACCCGCCCUCCCCCGGGGUUCUGCUCCUAAAGCAGGACUGUCGCCCAGAAGUGCCUUCCUCUCUUUGCCUCCAACUCCUACGACCUAGCUGUCAUGCUCCUUGGUAUUUACCCAAAUGUAUUGAAAACUUAUGUCCACACAAAAACCUGCACACGCAUGUUUAUAACAGCUUUAUUCAUAAUUGCCAAAACCUGGAAGCAACCAAGAUGCCCUUCAGGAGGUGAAUGGAUAAACUAUGGGACAUCCAGACAAUGGAAUGUUACUCACUGCUAAAGUGAAAUGAGCUAUCAAACCUUGAGAAGACGUGGAGGAACCUUAAAUGCAUAUUAUUAAGUGGAAGAAGCCAGUCUGAAAAGGCUACAUACUGUAUGAUUCCAACUAUAUUAUAUUCUGGGAAAAAGCAAAACUAUGGAGAUAGUAAGAUCAGUGGUUGCCAGAAGCCGGUGGGGAAAAAAGGAGGAAGAGGAAGACAGGAUUUUGGGGGAAGUGCUCUGUAUGAUACCAUAAUGGUGGAUAUAUGUUGUUAUACAUUUGUCAAAACCCACAGAACGUACAACACCAAGGAUGAGCCCUAAUGUGAACUAUAGAUUUCGGGUGAUAAUGAUGUGUCAGCAUAGGUUUCAUCGAUUGUAGCAAAUGUACCACUCUGGUGGGAGAUGGUGAUAGUGGGGGAAGCUGUAUGGGGUAGGGUAGGAGGUAUAUGGGAAAUCUCUGUACGUUCUGCUCAAUUUUGCUGUGAACCUAAAACUGCUCUAAAAAAUAAAGUUUAAUUUUUUAAAAUUG